rnacentral:lncRNA from 13 species
AUGUACUGUCAUGUUGUCUUGUCUCUGUCCUUUCCCUUUCCUCCGUUGCCGCCAGGUUUCCUCCUCGAGUGCGCCAGGAGGCGCUCGGUGAGUGGGGGGGUACUGUCAUGUACUGUCAUGUUGUCUUGUCUCUGUCCUUUCCCUUCACCCUGUCUCCCUCUGCUGGUCGUGUUAGGUUACCUUUUCUCCCCCGCUUUCCCCCAGCUGUCCCUUGUCUCCUCUAACUACCCAUUCACCCCGUUCCCCACCUGUUCCCUUUUUUCCCUCUGAUUAGGUCCCAAUAUCUCUCUCUGUUUCUGCUCCUGUCCUUGUCGGAUUCUUGUUUGUUUGUGUCAUUCAUGCCUGAACCAGACUGUCGUCAUGUUUGCUGUAACCUUGUCCUGUCCUGUCGGAAUCUGCCGGUCCAUCUGAGCCUACCUAUGUUUGGUAAUUAAAGAAGCUCUGUUUAAGUUGAUUCGCUUUUGGGUCCUCAUUCACGCACCGUAACACUAUCUCCUUGCUUAUUUUACUGUCAAGAUAUAAAGAUAGAGCGCCAUAUGUUAGUCUAGAGAUACCUUCAGCCUUGGUUAUUAGGACUACCUUUUAAAGAUAAGUCCCUCUGUAGCCAUUGACUUAGUUUCUUCUGGGGUUUUUUAAUAAGAGGGUUAAAAUUUAGUAAGCCUCUAGACUUCUGAUCCUUUGUAAUGGAUAAAUAUGUAAGUUCUUCUUUUACUGGAAUACCAUAAUAUGAAGGUGUCACACAAUCUUUGACAGCUAUGAGUUCACAUUUAUUAAUGUUAAGAUAUAGACCAGACACUUUGGGAAAGGAUUGCAUCACAUAGAUCGAUAUGGGAAUUUGGUUAGCGUCUUUCAGAAAAAGUGUAGUAUCGUCAGCCAGCUGGCUUAUAAUAAUUUCUUUACCAGCUAUGGAAAUACCUUGUACAGGAUUAUUAUUUAAAGAAUUUGUAAGAAUUUAAAAUAAAAACAGGUACAGAGAGAUAGGACAACCUUGCCUAAUUCCUCUCUUUAACUCAACUCUAGGUGAGGUGCCAUAUUUCAAUUUGAUAGAGCUGUUCCCAUUUGUAUAGAGAGUAUAGAGAGUCUUAAUAGCCUUAAAAAUAAUAUGAAGCUAUCCUCAGUUAUUAGGUCUGAGUAGUCACGUAUGCCCAAUACUAGUCUGAUAUUGUUAGAAAUAUGUCUGUUCCUCAUAAAGCCAGACUGUGUUUCAUCAAUGAUUGCAUCCAGGACUUCUUUAAUUAUUUUUGCAAGUAGUAAGGCUUAUAUCUUAUAGUCAUUAUAAAGAAGACAAAUUGGACACCAGUUAUCGAUGAGCAGCACUUUUUUUAGGCUUAGGUAUCAGUGUUAUUAACCCAUGACUCAUUGUAGGAGGGAGAACAUUGUUUUUAAUACUCUCUAAAAAGACUUCAAAUAGGAAGGGAGCUACUUGUUCAGAAAAUCAUUUGUAAAAUUCUUAUGUAAUUCCAUCAACACCUGGUGAUUUAUUGUUCUUUAGAUGUUUGAUAGACUCUAUAAUCUCUUCAACUUUGAUGGGUUCAUCACACUGUUUAGAUUCUAUUUCACUGAUAGAGUGAACAUUAUUCAGUGAGUUAAAAAACACAUCUGUGGAUUCCUGACAGUACGUAGAGCUAUACAAUUUCCUGUAAAAGUGGCAACAGUAUUUAGCGAUACAUUUUCGGUCAUCUGUAAUAACACCAUCAAUGUUUAACUUAUGGAUAGUCAAAUCAAAUCAAAGUGUAUUUGUCACGUGCCCCGAAUACAACCUUACAGUGAAAUGCUUACUUACAGGCUCUAACCAAAAGUGCAAAAAAGGUGUUAGGUGAACAAUAGGUAAAUAAAGAAAUAAAACAACAGUAAAAGGA